rnacentral:rRNA from 1 species
UACGUAGGGUGCAAGCGUUGUCCGGAAUUAUUGGGCGUAAAGAGCUCGUAGGCGGUCUGUCGCGUCGGCUGUGAAAACCCGGGGCUCAACCCCGGGCUGUCAUUCGAUACUGCCCGGCUCGAGGCAGGUAGGGGAGAUUGGAAUUCCCGGUGUAGCGGUGAAAUGCGCAGAUAUCGGGAGGAACACCGGUGGCGAAGGCGGAUCUCUGGGCCUGUCCUGACGCUCAUGCGCGAAAGCUGGGGGAGCGAACGGGAUUAGAAACCCCAGUAGU